AAUAGAUACCCCGGUAGUCCACGCCGUAAACGAUGAGUGCUAAGUGUUGGGGGGUUUCCGCCCCUUAGUGCUGCAGCUAACGCAUUAAGCACUCCGCCUGGGGAAUACGGUCGCAAGACUGAAACUCAAAGGAAUUGACGGGGGCCCGCACAAGCGGUGGAGCAUGUGGUUUAAUUCGAAGCAACGCGAAGAACCUUACCAGGUCUUGACAUCCCGCUGACCGUCCUAGAGAUAGGAUUUUCCCUUCGGGGACAGCGGUGACAGGUGGUGCAUGGUUGUCGUCAGCUCGUGUCGUGAGAUGUUGGGUUAAGUCCCGCAACGAGCGCAACCCUUGAUCUUAGUUGCCAGCAUUCAGUUGGGCACUCUAAGGUGACUGCCGGUGAUAAACCGGAGGAAGGUGGGGAUGACGUCAAAUCAUCAUGCCCCUUAUGACCUGGGCUACACACGUGCUACAAUGGACGGUACAGAGGGUCGCAACCCCGCGAGGGUGAGCUAAUCCCAUAAAACCGUUCUCAGUUCGGAUUGUAGGCUGCAACUCGCCUA
rnacentral:rRNA from 1 species